rnacentral:rRNA from 1 species
GACGAACGCUGGCGGCGUGCUUAACACAUGCAAGUCGAACGGAAAGGCCCUGCUUGCAGGGUACUCGAGUGGCGAACGGGUGAGUAACACGUGGGUGAGCAGCCCUGCACUUCGGGAUAAGCCAGGGAAACUGGGUCUAAUAACGGAUAGGAGCCAUUUUUAGUGUGAUGGUUGGAAAGUUUUUUCGGUGUAGGAUGAGCUCGCGGCCUAUCAGCUUGUUGGUGGGGUAAUGGCCUACCAAGGCGGCGACGGGUAGCCGGCCUGAGAGGGUGGACGGCCACAUUGGGACUGAGAUACGGCCCAGACUCCUACGGGAGGCAGCAGUGGGGAAUAUUGCACAAUGGGCGCAAGCCUGAUGCAGCGACGCCGCGUGGGGGAUGACGGCCUUCGGGUUGUAAACUCCUUUCGCUAGGGACGAAGCUUUUUGUGACGGUACCUAGAUAAGAAGCACCGGCUAACUACGUG